UCGAUUCCCCACCCCUCAUCUCCCUCCUGCACGCGAAGGGGCGCAGGGGAGCAUGGCGGACGGUCGGCUGCAAGAUUGAAGCGGCACUAGGCAAGCUCGAGGGACGGAGGCCGGAAGCCGUGGCUGUCUCCAUGAAGGCCGUCCUCGGAGCCUACCUCGGCGUGCACGUAUUGGCGGCGUUCCCCAUGACUUCACCCGUGUGGCUGGGCUCUUCUCAGGGUGGAAACACGCCUAGCCUUGCUGUAGAUCGAGGGAGGCCACGGCCAAGGGGACCUGCAUCGUGACGCAGGACAUGGACUCCAUGGCUGCUCCUACUGCCGAUUAAUUUCAUGACCCUGAAGUUCCUUUGGUCCUCACGAAGGAUCGAAUCAGGACUUUCACAUGUUCAGCUGCUGUGAUUCUGUCUUCUUUUGCUGAAACCAUGCUCACCACGCCUCUGCAAAAAAGAUUCAGGUGCUCUUAGUGCAACAAUAUAAUUGCUCUGCUUGGUAGUGCAUGCUGAAGCGAUGGCCUGCAUGGUUGGUGCAAUGUAAGCUCAAUACUUCUUCCUAUAGGUUUCCACAGGUUCUCUAUGAGUAUGCGUGGUGUUGCAGGCCAUCGGCGAGUCCGAUCUGUUUCUUCACCUCCUCCAGUUCCGCGCCAUUGUCAUGGGCUGGAUGCUGUUACUGAUGUGUCGCCGCCUCGCCGUGGCGGUUCUUCUGCUGAUACACAGAUCCAAGGCGGUGUAGGCAUCCUGUUCCUGAGCAAGGUCGUGGCCAAUCGGCUUCUUCUGAUACAUCUCAUGAAAUUUUACCUUGCAUGAUGGAUCUACAAGGGCUAUGGUCUUCACCAGAUAUAUAAGAGGUUUGUCUCGGAGUCGAUUAUCAAAGGGUGAAGUAAGAUACACGAGAUCUCAUAAUCAACAAAAAAUGCAGAACAUAUUCAAAUAUUUGUUACAACAUUGAUUUGCAUAAUUCCAGUGAAAUUAGUUACUGGACUACCAUGGUUGUGGCAGAGGAAUGCAGAGCAGGCUCAAGUGAUGGCCGGAAGAACAAAGUGUACCUGAUCAUUUAGAUGAAGCAUUGUAAAAAAGAAAAUUCAGUGUAUUUUUUCCUUGAAAAGUAUAUAUUACAAUGAGCACUUGAUUCAGUAAUAACCCCAAAGUGGCCUCACGGGUGCGGCGUGCAACAGAGAAGAUUGUUUAAGUA